rnacentral:rRNA from 1 species
AGUGAACGCUGGCGGCAGGCCUAACACAUGCAAGUCGAGCGGCAGCGCGGUGUAGCAAUACACUGGCGGCGAGCGGCGGACGGGUGAGGAAUGCGUCGGAAUCUGCCUCUUUGUGGGGGAUAACGUAGGGAAACUUACGCUAAUACCGCAUACGACCUACGGGUGAAAGUGGGGGACCUUCGGGCCUCACGCAGAGAGAU